rnacentral:tRNA from 1 species
AGUCCUUCGGAGGAACGGUUUCCCCCUCUUCUGGUUUACAACACCAGGCCGGUGUGCGCCGCGACCUACCCUGGUCUUGCUAUACCUGGC